rnacentral:rRNA from 1 species
AACGAACGCUGGCGGCAGGCUUAACACAUGCAAGUCGAACGCCCCGCAAGGGGAGUGGCAGACGGGUGAGUAACGCGUGGGGAUCUACCUAGUUCUACGGAACAACAGUUGGAAACGACUGCUAAUACCGUAUACGCCCUAUGGGGGAAAGAUUUAUCGGAAUUAGAUGAGCCCGCGUAAGAUUAGCUAGUUGGUGGGGUAAUGGCCUACCAAGGCGACGAUCUUUAGCUGGUCUGAGAGGAUGAUCAGCCACACUGGGACUGAGACACGGCCCAGACUCCUACGGGAGGCAGCAGUGGGGAAUAUUGGACAAUGGGCGCAAGCCUGAUCCAGCCAUGCCGCGUGAGUGAUGAAGGCCUUAGGGUUGUAAAGCUCUUUCACCGAUGAAGAUAAUGACGGUAGUCGGAGAAGAAGCCCCGGCUAACUUCGUGCCAGCCGCCGCGGUAACAC